GACAGAGGCCUCGAGCGUUAGGCGGAAUCACUGGGCUUAAGCGUCGUGUAGCGGACGCCUAAGUACCUUGUGAAAUCCCACGGCUCACCCGUGGAACCGCUGGGUAUACUGGGCGUCUUGGGCCAUUCAGGGGCAACUGGAACAAGCGGUGGAGCGGUGAAAUGCGUAGAUAUCGCUUGGAACGCCGACGGUGAAAACAGGUUGCUGGGAAUGUGCCGACGCUGAGACACGAAAGCCAGGGGAGCAAACGGG
rnacentral:rRNA from 1 species